rnacentral:rRNA from 1 species
CCUACGGGUGGCAGCAGUGAGGAAUAUUGGUCAAUGGACGCAAGCCUGAACCAGCCAAGUAGCGUGCAGGAUGACUGCCCUCCGGGUUGUAAACUGCUUUUAUAAAGGAAUAAAAUGAGGCACGUGUGCCUUUUUGUGUGUGCUUUAUCAGUAAGGAGAGGCUCACUCCGUGCCAGCAGCCGCGGUAAUACGGAGGAUCCGAGGGUUAUCCGGAUUUAUUGGGUUUAAAGGGAGCGUAGAUGGGUUGUUAAGUCAGCUGUGAAAGUCUGCGGCUCAACCGUAAAAUUGCAAUUGAUACUGGCAGUCUUGAGUACAGUUGAGGUAGGCGGAAUUCGUGGUGUAGCGGUGAAAUGCUUAGAUAUCACGAAGAACUCCGAUUGCGAAGGCAGCUUACUAAACUGCCACUGACAUUGAGGCUCGAAAGUGUGGGUAUCAAACAGGAUUAGAUACCCGUGUAGUC